AAAAAGACAAACCCUGGUUUCCGUGUCCAACGUUUGACCGUCCGUCUUAUUUAAAAAAAUUAUAAAAAAAUUAAAAAGAUAAGUCACGUAUAAAGUAUUAAUCAUGUUUUAUCAUCUAACAAUAACGAAAAUAGUAAUUAUAAAAAAAUUUCAUAUAGGACGGACGGUCAAACGUUGGCACGGGAACCCAUAGUUUACUUUUUU
rnacentral:pre_miRNA from 1 species